rnacentral:rRNA from 1 species
GAUUAACGCUGGCGGCGUGCAUAACACAUGCAAGUCGAACGAUGAAACUUAACUGAUUUCUUCGGAAUGAUUUUAAGUGGAUUAGUGGCGGACGGGUGAGUAACGCGUGAGUAACCUGCCUUGGAGAAGGGGAUAGCCUUUGGAAACGAAGAAUAAUACCCUAUGAUAUGAUAAUAUCUCAUGAUAUUAUCAUCAAAGAUUUAUCGCUCUAAGAUGGACUUGCGUCUGAUUAGUUAGUUGGUGAGGUAACAGCUCACCAAGGCAGCGAUCAGUAGCCGGCUUGAGAGAGUGUACGGCCACAUUGGGACUGAGACACGGCCCAGACUCCUACGGGAGGCAGCAGUGGGGAAUUUUGAACAAUGGGGGAAACCCUGAUGCAGCGACGCCGCGUGAUUUAGAAGGCCUUCGGGUUGUAAAAAUCUUUUGUAUGGGAAGAAAAUGGCAGUACCAUACGAAUAAGGACCGGCUAAUUACGUG